UACCUGCAGCUCGAGUGGUAACCGCUAUUAUUGGGCCUAAAGCGUCCGUAGCCGGUUUGGUAAAUAUCUGGGUAAAUCGUGAGGCCUAACUUCACGAAUUUCGGAUAGACUGCCAGACUUGGGAUCGGGGGAGGUCAGAGGUACUCCAGGGGUAGCGGUGAAAUGUUGUAAUCCUUGGAGGACCACCGGUAGCGAAGGCGUCUGACUAGAACGAGUCCGACGGUGAGGGACGAAGCCCUGGGGCGCAAACCGGAUUAGAUACCCGGGUAGUCCAGGGUGUAAACGAUGUGGGCUUUGUAUUGGAGGUCCCACGUGGGCGUCCAGUGCAGAAGAGAAGUUGUUAAGCCCACCGCCUGGGAAGUACGGUCGCAAGGCUGAAACUUAAAGGAAUUGGCGGGGGAGCACAGCAACGGGAGGAGCGUGCGGUUU
rnacentral:rRNA from 1 species